rnacentral:rRNA from 1 species
GAUGAACGCUGGCGGCGUGCCUAAUACGUGCAAGUCGAGCGAACAGACGAGGAGCUUGCUCCUCUGACGUUAGCGGCGGACGGGUGAGUAACACGUGGAUAACCUACCUAUAAGACUGGGAUAACUUCGGGAAACCGGAGCUAAUACCGGAUAAUAUAUUGAACCGCAUGGUUCAAUAGUGAAAGACGGUUUUGCUGUCACUUAUAGAUGGAUCCGCGCCGCAUUAGCUAGUUGGUAAGGUAACGGCUUACCAAGGCGACGAUGCGUAGCCGACCUGAGAGGGUGAUCGGCCACACUGGAACUGAGACACGGUCCAGACUCCUACGGGAGGCAGCAGUAGGGAAUCUUCCGCAAUGGGCGAAAGCUUGACGGAGCAACGCCGCGUGAGUGAUGAAGGUCUUCGGAUCGUAAAACUCUGUUAUUAGGGAAGAACAAAUGUGUAAGUAACUAUGCACGUCUUGACGGUACCUAAUCAGAAAGCCACGGCUAACUACGUG